UUGAACGCUGGCGGCAGGCCUAACACAUGCAAGUCGAGCGGAUGAAGGGAGCUUGCUCCUGGAUUCAGCGGCGGACGGGUGAGUAAUGCCUAGGAAUCUGCCUGGUAGUGGGGGAUAACGUCCGGAAACGGGCGCUAAUACCGCAUACGUCCUGAGGGGGAAAGUGGGGGAUCUUCGGACCUCACGCUAUCAGAUGAGCCUAGGUCGGAUUAGCUAGUUGGUGGGGUAAAGGCCUACCAAGGCGACGAUCCGUAACUGGUCUGAGAGGAUGAUCAGUCACACUGGAACUGAGACACGGUCCAGACUCCUACGGGAGGCAGCAGUGGGGAAUAUUGGACAAUGGGCGAAAGCCUGAUCCAGCCAUGCCGCGUGUGUGAAGAAGGUCUUCGGAUUGUAAAGCACUUUAAGUUGGGAGGAAGGGCAGUAAGUUAAUACCUUGCUGUUUUGACGUUACCAACAGAAUAAGCGCCGGCUAACUUCGUG
rnacentral:rRNA from 1 species